UCCUGACCAAGAGUCAAGGAUUGAGAAAGUGUAAAAAAUGGUCCCCAAUGAGACUGUGAAUUGUGAUGCCUGUUUGGUUGCCUUUACAUUUAUCAAUAUUUCAUAUUCUGUUUAUCUAUGAAACAACAAUGUUGAUAAUAACACUAAAACAGCCAAUCUUGCCAUCAGAAAUAGUUAAACUUAAGUAAAAACAUAAGACAUAGAGUGACUCGUCAGGUAGAGAUGCAAUGCAUAAGAGAAUGGCCAGCAUGCUGAUGACUGGUCAUACAGAAGCUGAUCAUACAGAUGACCGGCCAUACAGACCGCAUCGUACACACAGUGAUCACAUCCUGAUGUAACCCAUCGCUCUCCAGCUGGAGGAAGUGCUGCUUUAUAAUCACAGAACAUUCACUCACUAUUAAAGUGAUUCUGGCUGCUAGAAAGGAGAACAUAUCCUACAACAUGAAAAAGUCAAGUCAACAGUUCACAUUGUUCACUCUAAACAAGAAUUUCACUUCAUCAGAAAGUUCAGUCCUCAAGAAAAGCUGCAUGCAGAAUCUGGAUUGUUGGGACUGCUACAUUGGACGUGGUGGAAAGCGAGCAAUGGAAACCAUGGGCACCAAUC